CAAACCGAACCAGAACCGUGACAUCUCAGAUACUGUCCAUCAACAUCACUGGGCUGGUUCUGCUCUGGUCCUGCUGACUACACUAGUGGACUGGCCAUUGGGAGCACCGGGAGAUUUCACAGUGGCCUGUCAGCCUGAGCAGAGGCAGCGAUAAUAUAGCAAACAGGAGAAUCUGUGUAUCCACCGAGUCCACGUCUCUCUUUCUCUGCCAAAUAUGUGUUUAUUUUUGUUUGCUUGCUUUCUGGACACCAGAGAGUGAACACUGGAAUCAACAGGUUUAUUGUAGGCUAUAGGUGCAACACAUCAUGGCAAACCGUCAGUGCACAUUUGAGAUUGACAACAAGAGUUCACCUUCUGUAACCCGCAGGUGUUCACUUACAGUGGAUCCUAUGAGAAGCCGUUGUCACCAACUCUCGGCCCCUCUGAAUCUGGCAGCGCUCUGUUCAUCAAGACUUCGAACACAGCGUGUGGGGCUGUUGGAGUCCUCACCUAUGAUCUGCAGAACAAAUCCACAGAGAAAUGUGAUGGAAAAAUAGCCGUCAUGUACUCCGUUCCUUAUGACUACAACUUCUACUCUAACAUGUACGCAGUGGGAGUCUUUGACGUGGAUACAAAGUGUGAUUAUGACCUUUAGAAACAGAUGUAUUAUGGGGCGGGGUCAAUGUUUGUCAGAGGUAAAGCUAAAGACAGUCUGACUUACAAAGGCAAAGAUGUGACCAUCGGAGCCACCAUGUCAGACAGUAAGACAUCUGUCAUCAAGGUGCACGUGUCCAACUGAAAUAUGAAGCUUCCUUAAACCCUUCAGACCUUCUUCCAUGAACCAGUAAUCUCCACUAAUGGAACAGUUUUCUGUCACGUUAAGGUUUGACUUGUGCUAAAGUUACAUUAGAAUUUCAGAUAACAGUAUCCUAUAUAGCGUACCACUAGUGUAAUAUUAAUUCCAGUUCCAGCAGUUUCGUUACGGUUCGUUGUUCUCGUUCAUUAAAUCCUCGUGCGAGAAAAAAAGCUAACUUGUCACUAAUCAGAACCGUUCGUGCAGAACGAGUUCAACAUUUGGAAAGUUUGCCGUAGCACCACGUCAACCUUUUUUCAUGUCCCGCCUCUCUGCUCCUGCUUCCAGUGUUUAUGCUGAGCUACACUGUA